rnacentral:rRNA from 1 species
GACGAACGCUGGCGGCGUGCCUAAUACAUGCAAGUAGAACGCUGAAGGAGGAGCUUGCUUCUCUGGAUGAGUUGCGAACGGGUGAGUAACGCGUAGGUAACCUGCCUGGUAGUGGGGGAUAACUAUUGGAAACGAUAGCUAAUACCGCAUAAUAGCAGUUGUUGCAUGAUAACUGUUUGAAAGGUGCAAUUGCACCGCUACCAGAUGGACCUGCGUUGUAUUAGCUAGUUGGUGGGGUAACGGCUCACCAAGGCGACGAUACAUAGCCGACCUGAGAGGGUGAUCGGCCACACUGGGACUGAGACACGGCCCAGACUCCUACGGGAGGCAGCAGUAGGGAAUCUUCGGCAAUGGACGGAAGUCUGACCGAGCAACGCCGCGUGAGGGAAGAAGGUUUUCGGAUCGUAAAGCUCUGUUGUAAGAGAAGAACGAGUGUGAGAGUGGAAAGUUCACACUGUGACGGUAUCUUACCAGAAAGGGACGGCUAACUACGUG